CAACGUAGCGCACCACGCCACCUAACGGGUGGGCUGUGACCGUCAGCGUCAUGGACAGAAAGUGCCACAGAAAACUAGACUUCCUGCCGGGAGGGCUCGCCCUUCUCCGCUACGGCCUUCGGCACGUAGCUUCGGUGGGUAAAGGUGAAAACGUGCGGGGCUAUGCCCUUAAUGUAAGAGCGCACGCCAGGCCGUAGCAAUACGGCCCGGGGGUAAACCUCGUGGGUUGAAAUGUCACAUACACCACGAUUCCGAUCCCUUAAGCUGAGCCAUGCUCACUUCAGGGUGGGAGGCGGGUUGCUCGCCUGCUUGGAAACAGUCGUGGGGGGUAGGCAGAUAGACCCUGACGGUGACGUCAGGGCUAGAUAAAUGAUAGAGGCCCGGGGCUGGGCGUAAGCCCAUCGUCAGGGUACAAAAUCCGGCUUACAGGCCCGCAGCAAUU
rnacentral:RNase_P_RNA from 1 species